AUUAAAUAAUUAAAGGGCUGCAGUAUAUUGACUGUACAAAGGUAGCAUAAUCAUUAGUCAUUUAAUUGGUGGCUUGUAUGAAGGAUUUGAUGAAAUAUAAACUGUCUCUUAUUUAAUUAUAAAAUUUAAUUUUUUUAUUAAAAAGUUAAAAUGUAUUAAAAAGACGAGAAGACCCUAUAGAGUUUAAUAAAUUAUUAAAUUGAGAUUAUAUGUAAAUUAAACUUGAAAUUGAGUUAUUUAUUUUGUUGGGGUGACAAAAAAAUAUAUUAAACUUUUUUUAUUUUAAAACAUUUAUAAGUGGUUAAAUGAUCCAAUAAUGUUGAUUAUAAGAAAAAAUUACCUUAGGGAUAACAGCGUAAUUUUUUUUUUUAGUUCAAAUAAGAAAAAGAGUUUGCGACCUCGAUGUUGGAUUAAGAUAAAAUUUAAAUGUAGAAGUU
rnacentral:rRNA from 1 species